GGGCCCUGUUGACCCAUGCAGGCUCCCAUUGUGGUGGGUUGUGUCACCCCACAAUGUCACUGUUGCUAAGCCCCCAUCGCCUCUGUGUUGUGGAGCAGUUAGAGACACACAGCCGUGUCUGUGAGUGGCUCUGCGUGAAGGACCAUUUUCUAGGUGAGAGGCACAUCUCAACACAGCUGACUGAUCAGACUCAGCAAUUCCAUUCUGCAUCUUUUCUGAUCACCCCCGUGAUGACCCAGGACAACCCCAUCAGGCCCUCUCACCCAGGCCCAGUCCAGCUCCAUGAUAACCAAGAAGCAGGUCCAGAGACAACCACCCUUCAUGGUGCCUGCAUCUGACCCCCCUUGGUGGGAGUGACCAGCACAACAUGGAAGAAGCCAGGGCAGCAUGCGGCCAGCUGCCCUGCAGCCCCAGAUGGCUCCUAGGCCUUGGGAAGUCAUUCUCAAAGGGGAAGCUGGUCAUUUUGAGGUCCCUGGAGGGAAGGGUGAAUGUGUCAUCCCAACAUCCCUGGAAGCCAGAAGCAUGCCAUACAUCUUAGCCAACCUGUGUGACAGAGGCCCCCUCCUGGGGCACAAGUCCCAUACCUAAAGGGUCCUGUCCCAGUUGAACCUCAUCCUGAGUCCUGGGAGGGGAGGAGCACCAUGGGCCUCCCUGCAGCAGCCAGGAUUACCACCCAGGGGACUCAGCCUUCUGUGGCCCUGGCCAGACUUAGAAUUUGGCCCAAGACAAGACAAGCUCACUCGGAGCAGCUUGUCAGUACCCGGGGCCUGUGCAUGCC
rnacentral:lncRNA from 1 species